rnacentral:tRNA from 1 species
GGAGAGGUGGCCGAGUGGUCGAAGGCAGGCGCUUGCUAAGCGUCCGUACGGUCAAAAGCCGUACCGAGGGUUCGAAUCCCUCCCUCUCCG